rnacentral:tRNA from 1 species
GCAGAUUAUAUGUCAUGGAUUUAAACCCCAUUCAUAAAAGGUCAAUCCUUUUUUUAGAA